UACGUAGGGGGCAAGCGUUGUCCGGAUUUAUUGGGCGUAAAGAGCGUGUAGGCGGCCAGGUAGGUCCGCUGUGAAAACCUCGAGGCUUAACCUCGAGAUGUCAUCGGAAACCAUCUGGCUAGAGUCCGGAAGAGGAGAGUGGAAUCCUGGUGUAGCGGUGAAAUGCGCAGAUAUCAGGAAGAACACCCGUGGCGAAGGCGGCUCUCUGGGACGGUACU
rnacentral:rRNA from 1 species